ensembl:lncRNA
GCAGCACAGAAGGGGCCGUUCUAAAGUUAACUUACUGCAUCAGGAGGUUCUCCCUCUCAGUUCUGGAGCUAUCAGACAGACUCAACUGACUGUUCUGCAGGACUGUGCUAUUUCUAUCCAGUGAUGGUGAACUUUUAAAAAAAAGCAAUUGAGCAAUGCUAUAGCCUACUACAUUAAUUUGACAACACUUAUAAAAUGGAUUAAAACAGCACCUGAACGGCCAAACUAAGAAAAAAGAUGGAGUAUUCUGACGACGACUUCCAUACCUUUUAUGGACCUUGACACUGUUAUUUACUUGGCAGUCUAUGGGACAGUCUCAAGCCUCCAGGUUUUCAUCCAAAAUAUCUUAAAUUGUGUUCCGAAGACGAACUGAGCUUUUACGGGCUUGGAACGACAUGGGGGAACCUAUAGAGCUCACAAGGACUUUUUUGAAAUUUGGCAUUUCUUUAAAUAGAACCUUCAGGUCAUAAGAGUCUAAGAUGGCGGACCAAACAAAAGAGGUGAAAAAGCAUCAGACCAACACAGAAAAACCAGACGACAAUGGAUCAGACUGUUCUAAUCUCAAUUCUAAAGAAUAAACUAGAAAAACGUCACCUGAAUUUAAUCCUACUAAUGAAUACUCAGUGAAUAUCGCUCUCAAAGUGGCCACAUCUUUGCUCCAGUCUGUCUUUCUUGAAAAUAGGCCUGUUGUACUGCCUGUUCAUUUUCAGUUAGCUGGGGUUUCGCAACCCCAGGUUGGUGAGGCAGGGUUAUCUCCCUUUGCCUGCUUCGAGCACAGUCUCCAUGGCAUGUCACUGGUCCUAAAUAGGGAUGCAGCGAUUAACCGGUUUCACAAUUAACCUCGCUUUAAAAUGUCACGGUUAAUCGUAAAGGCUCCGCUACACCGAGUGUUUCUGUUGCACAGAACGGAACAGUUGCAACUUGUCUGAAAACAAAGUUAAACUAGCGGUGCACCAGCUUAAAAUGCUGUGCUUAUCAGAGACAUGGAGGCUACUACACACACUAGAUUAACUAUGACAGAGGAACCAAACAGCGAUCCUUUAUUUCCACCAGAGAAACGAAUAAAGUCGAUAGUGUGGGACUAUUUUGGAUACACCAAGAAUGACCAGGGUGUCAUUUAAAUAUUGCCAUAAAAACUGCUGCUAAAGAGCGAAUACACGGCUUUAAACUAUUUUAAUGCACAACGUGAAGGCAAGACUGACACGAAGCUACGGCUCAUUAGCUCAGCAUUCUGCCCGCUUCAGAUCAGACAGAUGAAAUAAUGCAGUAAGAUCACAUUUAUUUGAAUUAAUAAUAACAUUUAGCUACUUUAAUUAAUUAUUUGAUCGUGAGCGAGAGAGAGAGAGAAGUGUGUGUGUGUGUGUGUGUGUGAACCUGCGUCAUCGCGUCUCUUUAGUUAAACAGUGAUUUUACCCCCUCAUUGCUGAUGAAUAUGA